rnacentral:rRNA from 1 species
GACGAACGCUGGCGGCGUGCUUAACACAUGCAAGUCGAACGGAACGGCCCUGCUUUUGUGGGGUGCUCGAGUGGCGAUCGGGUGAGUAAGACGUAAGUAACCUGCCCUUGACUUUGGGAUAACUUCAGGAAACUGGGGCUAAUACUGGUUCGGAGCUCCAGCUGCGUGGAGGGGGUUGGAAAGUUUAGGCUGUUGGGGCUGGACUCUAGGCUUAUCAGCUUGUGGGUGGAGGAGUGGCUGACGAAGACAUUGAUGGGUAGCCGGCCUGGGGAGGUCGACGGCGACCUGAGGACUGCGGGAGGGCCCAGACUGCUACGGGCGGCAGCAGUGGGGAAUAUUGCGCAGCGGGCGCACGUCAGAGGCAGCAACGCCGCGUGCGUAAUGAUGGCCUGCGAGUUGUAAACAGCUUACGCAUGUGACGAAGCGUGAGUGACGGUAACGAGUAAAGAAGCACCGGCUAACUACGUG